GAUGAACGCUGGCGGCGUGCCUAAUACAUGCAAGUAGAACGCUGAAGCUUGGUGCUUGCACCGAGCGGAUGAGUUGCGAACGGGUGAGUAACGCGUAGGCAACCUGCCUCUUAGCGGGGGAUAACUAUUGGAAACGAUAGCUAAUACCGCAUAAAAGUCGAUAUCGCAUGAUAUUGAUUUGAAAGGUGCAAAUGCAUCACUAAGAGAUGGACCUGCGUUGUAUUAGCUAGUUGGUGAGGUAACGGCUCACCAAGGCGACGAUACAUAGCCGACCUGAGAGGGUGAUCGGCCACACUGGGACUGAGACACGGCCCAGACUCCUACGGGAGGCAGCAGUAGGGAAUCUUCGGCAAUGGGGGCAACCCUGACCGAGCAACGCCGCGUGAGUGAAGAAGGUUUUCGGAUCGUAAAGCUCUGUUGUAAGAGAAGAACGAGUGUGAGAGUGGAAAGUUCACACUGUGACGGUAACUUACCAGAAAGGGACGGCUAACUACGUG
rnacentral:rRNA from 1 species